UUUAGUGAAUACAAGAAAUGUUGAAUAGUCUGCUGCAAGGAGACAUUGGCCAUUGUAAUGAGUGGAUGAUAAUGUGAGUCGCUGGCAAACCUACAGCCCCUACUGUGAUAGGCAGUCAAGUGUUUUUAACCUGCACAUUUUUUUUUAUUCCCCUAUUUUAUUUUAUGUUCAUAAAUAUCAUGACUCACGACUUUUAAUGUUGGAAGGAGUUGAGAGUCCCCACUCAACUGCAUGCCUUCUGAAUAAUAAUUAUAGACUCCACUUUAUAUGCUACCAUUUUACCUGUGAGAAUUUUUUGAAAAUUUUGAGAUUUGAAAGCUAUUGCUUUCAACUAUAUAGAGCCCAACUAUAUGUCAUUGGCUCCGGGAAUAAAUGGGUGUACUGUUUGUCUGUGUUGAAUGGCUGGAAGUGUUGCAGGUAUCUUGGGAUAUCUAAUAAAGUUGUGAUAUUAUUUCAGUGCUGUUUCUAUAAAGGCCCAGCUC
rnacentral:lncRNA from 1 species